AUCCUUUGACAUGGCGUGUUACCUGGAGAGAUUCAGGGUCCCCUUCGGGGGCGCGCACACAGGUGCUGCAUGGCUGUCGUCAGCUCGUGUCGUGAGAUGUUGGGUUAAGUCCCGCAACGAGCGCAACCCACGUCCUUAGUUGCCAUCAUUCAGUUGGGCACUCUAGGGAGACUGCCGGUGAUAAGCCGCGAGGAAGGUGUGGAUGACGUCAAGUCCUCAUCGGCCCUUACGGG
rnacentral:rRNA from 1 species